rnacentral:lncRNA from 1 species
UUUAUGAGCAUACCAUUUUGUUGACGUUUUGAGUAUAUGAAUGUAUAUUAUAAGAACAGUCCUUACAAAAUAUAUUUUGCUCCUUUUUUCCUGCUCUUAUAGAAUAAAGAUAUUCAGCCUAUAAAAUUUCUAAUCAAACACCAACAAGAAGUGAAGAUUUAUUUUCCCAUCAUGCUUACACCCAAAUUUCUGGCAUUUCCUCACCAUCCUAUGGGAAAGUUAUAUCAUUAUAAAGUACAGGUAGAGGGUGGCAGUGGCAACUUCACCUGGACUUCUUCUAAUGAAACAGUGGUCAUAGUAACCACUAAAGGAGUAGUGACUGCAGGUCAGGUCAGGGGGAAUAGUACUGUUUUGGCCCGAGAUGUACAAAAUCCCUUUCGAUAUGGAGAAAUUAAGAUACAUGUCCUGAAACUGAACAAAAUGGAACUGUUACCAUUUCAUGCUGAUGUGGAGGUUGGCCAGAUUAUAGAAAUCCCCAUUGCAAUGUAUCACAUAAAUAAAGAGACCAAAGAAGCCAUGGCAUUCACAGACUGCUCUCAUUUAUCCUUGGAUCUGAACAUGGAUAAACAAGGAGUCUUUACUCUUCUCAAAGAAGGUAUUCAAAGACCUGGACCAAUGCAUUGUUCCAGUACACAUAUUGCAGCUAAAUCUCUCGGCCAUACUCUGGUAACAGUAAGUGUGAGUGAAUGUGACAAGUACUUGGAGAGCAGUGCUACAUUUGCUGCUUAUGAACCCCUAAAGGCUCUAAAUCCUGUGGAAGUGGCAUUGGUGACAUGGCAGUCUGUGAAGGAAAUGGUAUUUGAAGGGGGUCCUCGUCCAUGGAUCUUGGAGCCCUCCCGAUUUUUUUUGGAACUGAGUGCGGAGAAGACAGAGAAGAUUGGAAUAGCACAAGUGUGGCUGCCAUCUAAGAGAAAACAGAACCAGUACAUCUACCGGAUCCAAUGCCUGGAUUUAGGGGAACAAGCUCUCACAUUCCGAAUUGGAAACCAUCCAGGUGUCCUGAACCCUAGUCCAGCUGUAGAGGUUUUGCAGGUUCGCUUCAUAUGUGCCCACCCUGCCAGUAUGUCAGUAACUCCAGUAUACAAGGUGCGAGCUGGUGCCCAGCCAUGUCCCCUGCCACAGCACAACAAACAGCUGAUUCCUGUGUCAAGACUGAGGGACACAGUCCUGGAACUAGCAGUGUUUGAUCAACAUAGGAGAAAGUUUGAUAAUUUCAGUUCACUAAUGCUAGAAUGGAAAUCCUCCAAUGAAACACUAGCCCAUUUCGAAGAUUAUAAAUCAGUGGAAAUGGUAGCAAAAGAUGAUGGCAGUGGGCAGACCCGGUUACAUGGUAUUGUGGAAAUAUACAAGUCUUUUC